rnacentral:lncRNA from 1 species
GAGCCCAAGCUCCCACUUCUCAAUUCCAUGACCGUCUAAUCUAAAGCCUGCACUGCUUGACAUUCACUUUCAGUUUUGCAUAUUGAUUUGUAACACCAAACGGGGAAAGGCUCCAUUUUCUGGGGACCAGCUUUGUUGGUAACAAAGAUACUGAAUCAUAGAGAGGAAUCAUUUUUGCAAGAUCACAGCUGUAAGCCAUAAAGAUUCCUCUCGGAGGUCCCUUCUCUGGAUGAGAAAUUAGCUCUUAUCUUCACAGACUGGGAAGUGAGGCUGCAACAGACCUGAAUAAAUAAACUUUCCAGGCUGGGUGUGGUGGCUCACACCUGUAAUCCCAGCACUUUGGGAGGCUGAGGUGUGUGGAUCAUAUGAGGUCAGGAGUUCGAGACCAGCCUUCAGAGACCAGCUCUGGCCCUCCCGGAUGCCUCUGUCUGCCCCCGCUUCGGCUGCUGCGCUGUGCCAGCAGGUCCCGCAGGGCUUCACAUUCCUCACUCAGGUCUUCCAUUCAAGAAAUGUUCAUUGACUGAUACUGAGCAGGCCACUGGGGUGAGUGGUCAAUAAGACCCAGCCGCCACACUGAAGUAAAGUUGGUGGGGAGACAGACCACAGUCACGCACCAUACAGGCCAUGAUGGGCAAAUGUCAAGGGUGUACGGGGCAGGGGCAUCACAGCUACGGCACCCAACCCAACCUGCAAGGUAUAGGAAGGAUUCCUGGAAAAAGGAACCACUAAGCUAAGACCACAGGGCAAGUGAAGCUCAGCCAGGCAAAGGGAAGACGUGGGCCCAAGCUGACUAGAAAGGCCCAGAGGCCAUCAUAAGACACU